UUAUUGCCUCACAGCUCAGACCAGAAGGGUCUGACCAGAAACUCGCAGUGUUGGGGGGGCUCCCCCGGGGCCACGGGGGUACAGCCUUGUGGCUCGUGAGCUGACCAGCUGUGGUCUCCUGGGCUGUGGACACAUCACCCCUCCCGGCCUCCGUAUGAGGACCCAGGAGUGUUGGAUUCGGGCUCUUAUUACCCUGGGAUGACCUCAUCUCUACGUGUUUUAUUUUCAUCGACCCGAUUUCCAAAUAAGGUCACCUGCGUAGGCGCUAGGGGUCAGGACUUCCGCGCGUCUUUUAUGUUGAACACAACCCGUCACACGCCUCAUGGUGGUGAUUUCCGCAGCCCAAGUUAACACCCUAUUAAGCAUAUUUGUGGUGAGGAAUACGUCUCGGAGAACCUCGUCCUGCGGCUUGUAGACACCGGCACACGUUGGCAGACACUUGUCCCACGCUGGUCCCCGCUUUUAACCUGUUCUUCCGUGACUCGUUGAUCAGCAGUGAGCAGAGUCCUGGCCACCACCUGUGUGACAGAAUACUCUGGAAGCCGCGGACAGCUGUACAUACAGAAAUGGCAAGAUCAGCAAAUGAUGGUAACGAGCAUGGACAAGUCCCAUAAAUUUGAGUAUUUUUUAAAGGAGCACAUGCCAUAGACUUCGACUGAUGCCUUCACGAGGUAAUAAGCAGGAAGAUGAGGCUGAUUCAUCGUGAGUUAGAACAAGGUACUUACGUCGGCUCACGUAAAGAAUGCUGCCUUAGCGUUGCAAACACAACCUCCAACAGAGUGAUGUCGCACAGACCGGAGGGGCUGUGACCUCCGAGGACUCCUGUGCCUGCAGAGGUGACUGACCGCUCACUGGACAAAUACACCUCCUUUGCUGUGGGACAGGGGUCUCCGCACCCUCAUUUUUCUUCGUUUCAUUAGGUCUGGACGCUCUGUUCCCCCCUGAGGUGAGGACACCCUGCACGCGGCAAGGACACUGGAAAUGGCCAGUGUCUUCCCCAACAGCUCAUCUCUGAGACCUGCCUGCAUCCACUUACCGGACAGAAGUCACCUGGUGGUCGGGCUUCUCCGGACGGACGCCUCUCCCCACAGGCUCACACCUGUGGUCCGCGAGCAGCGUGUGCGGUAUCCCAGGGAAACAGGGCGGCCUUGCGGUCAUCUCUUUGUAAGGAUUAACCAGCAGCGUUAAGGAAAAUGAUUCUCUUUUUUCCCUUCAUUAAAUGGACAUUUCAUCUGUAUACCCAUCACCAUUGCUGCUGGGAUGGUCUCAACCACCCAUAACCAUGGAAACUUCUAACCAGGUGCCGUCAUGAGUCAAGUCCCCACUCUCUGCCGAGGACUUGGCCACACAGGACAGCAGCACUCCUGGCUGAAAGCCGGGAACGGGGCUGUGAUGGUCAGCUUCAGGGUCCACUCGGCUGUCCAGGCGCACCCGGAGUGUCACCGUGCAGGUCUCUUGUAGGUGUGGUCGGCAGCCUCGGAGUACAGCGGCGUUCCCUCCACGGUGUGGGGGGCCUCGCCCGAUUAGCGGAGGACUCCAGAGCAAAACCAGGUUUCUCAAAGAAGAAAUUCUGCCUGAUGAGUGAGGUGCUGGCCUGCCCUGCAGAUUCCAGCCUUGCAGCCCUUGGUCCGUCUCCCUCUGUCUCAGCGUGUGGAGGGACGAUUGGGGAUGCUAUCACAUUGUGGGUGGACACAUACCCCAUUGACUCGAGGUCUCUGGGGAACCUGGGCUAACACGGACCCCCUCGGGCCCGUGCAGAAGCUGUGAUGUCUGUGCUCUCGACGGCUGUAAUAGCUUCAGCUUUGUGUUUCCCUCAUCUGUAUAGUUACAAAGGUUACACUAAAUUACAAGACGUGAACGUAAGGUGAGCAGAUAUUAAUACACAAAAAACUCAGUGAUAUGGAGAAAUCCCUGAACGAUGCGUCUUUCUAAGCGGGGUAGGUAUGGAGCAUGGAUGUUCCAGAACUGCUAAGCCUGCCGAAUCUUGUAAGUGAAUGCUUCCCACGAAGAGCAUUCUAAACCCAAAGAAGUUUACCACUGAAUCUUGCAAAAAUUCAACCAGAAAAUAGAAAAGGAGGGAACACUCCCCCACCCGUUUUUUAUCGGAAGACGGACCCCAGCCAGAAGCCGGAGGCAGUAGCAGCAGAUUCUGGCAGGGUGGUGCAGAGCUCCGGUUUCCCGAGACGGACCAGGUCGCUCGCGUCAGAUUGGCUCUUAUGCAGGAGCACCUCUGGCGAGGACUGGAGGACAGAGACAUCCUAGCUGUGCCUGCUGCCAGCUCUGCACAGCCCUGCCUUUGGGAAGAGGCCAGUGUCCCUUCCAGUCGGUCGGCCUUCUGGGGCGGAAGGGCUCUCCGGGGAGGUCUCUGCGGCUGGAGGAAAUCCGGAGGUGACAUUUUAUUCAGCUCUGUGUUGCCAAAGGCCGGUAUGGAGCGGAUGACCAUGGCUUAGGCCGCGGGGCACCCGCACCCGUGCUGUGGACGAGGGCGGGUCGGGCCCUCCAGCCUCUUUCGUGCAGGAGAGCUGCUUCGGGCCCCCACGCAGACCUGUGCACAGGUCCACAGCCACACGUCCACGGGAGACCAAAGGUGGGAACAGCCGGCGUGUCCAUACAAUCACCUGUACGACGAAAUAUUGUCAGACACAAAACGAGUGAGGCCCUCAUACUUGCUACAAUGUGGAUGGACCUUGAAACCAGCCAGAAAAGGACAAAAAUGGUGGGAUUUCACUUAUUUGAGGUGUCUAGAACAGGCAAACCCACCAGGGGCUCGUGUGUGAAGAUACUAGCAUCCUUGCAGGGGACGGAAUCGUUGUAGGGUCACACUGUGGUUAUUGUUCCGUAGCUGUGAAUGUUCCAGAAACCCCACUCAACCAUACACUGUAAAUGGGCGAGUUUUACGGCAAGUGAAUUAUCUCGGCAAAGCCGGUAAACAUAUCAGCAACCAUAAUCAGUGAUACAUAUCAAACACGGAGUAUUAUAGCCAAGCAAAGUUUAUUUCAGGAACAAAGAGUUGGUUUAACAUUAAAAAACUAGUCAAUUAAAUUUGCCACAUUAACACAUUAAAAGAAAUAAUCAAAUGAUCACCUUAUUCGAUUAAAAAAAGCCUUGGAUAUAGUGAAUGUCCAUUCACGACAAAAAUUCUCAGCAAACCAAGAAUAGAAAGGUUCUACCUUAACUAUAGGAAGGGAUCCACCCAAACCUGCCUUACUGCAAACAUUGACUUAAUAGCAAAGGCGGGACGUGUUCUCUUUGAGUGUGGGGUGCGGCGUGAACGUGGCUGUGAGCCACGGCUCGGGCAAGGGAUGGUGUGACGCCCCGAGAGUCGCAGGUCAGCCACAUGUGCCCCAUCCACGUGGCCGAACUGUCCCCGGGCACGUCCAUCGUCCACCCUCGAGGCCUGCGUGCCCAGAGCCUGCGACCUCCUGCUCUGCGCUGCCGGAAGCAAACCCCCAGGUAUUAGGCCUGCCCGCCCCCCACCGCAGGCACAAGGCAGAAGAGCCACCUGCCAAGUCCCUGAGAAGGCCCUUCACCUCACGCGCCGCCGAACAGUCCUGCGACUCCACUGGAGAGAGAUCCGGACGCUGGUGGUGGUGGAGCUGAGCCUCCCACCUCUUGAUGACCACACCCCCUCAGGGCCCCUGCUUCAUGCUCUGAGAACAGGUGGCAGCCUUCCCAGGGGUUCGUGAGGGGUGUCCUGUCCUUGUGCGUGUGUGCAUGUGUGU